AGAGAAAGUAUAGAAACGAAGAGGUGUACAGUAGGGAAGGUAUAGAAACGAAGAGGUGUACAGUAGAGAAAGUAUAGAAACGAAGAGGUGUUCAGUAGGGAAGGUAUAGAAACGAAGAGGUGUACAGUAGAGAAGGUAUAGAAACGAAGAGGUGUACAGUAGAGAAGGUAUAGAAACGAAGAGGUGUACAGUAGAGAAAGUAUAGAAAUGAAGAGGUGUUCAGUAGAGAAGGUAUAGAAACGAAGAGGUGUACAGUGGGGAAGGUAUAGAAACGAAGAGGUGUUCAGUAGAGAAGGUAUAGAAACGAAGAGGUGUACAAUAGAGAAGGUAUAGAAACGAAGAGGUGUACAGUGGAGAAGGUAUAGAAACGAAGAGGUGUUCAGUAGGGAAGGUAUAGAAACGAAGAGGUGUACAGUAGGGAAGGUAUAGAAACGAAGAGGUGUACAACAGUAGAGAAGGUAUAGAAACGAAGAGGUGUUCAGUAGAGAAGGUAUAGAAACGAAGAGGUGUACAGUAGGGAAGGUAUAGAAACGAAGAGGUGUACAGUAGGGAAGGUAUAGAAACGAAGAGGUGUACAGUAGAGAAGGUAUAGAAACGAAGAGGUGUUCAGUAGAGAAGGUAUAGAAACGAAGAGGUGUACAGUAGAGAAGGUAUAGAAACGAAGAGGUGUACAGUAGGGAAGGUAUAGAAACGAAGAGGUGUUCAGUAGAGAAGGUAUAGAAACGAAGAGGUGUACAGUAGAGAAGGUAUAGAAACGAAGAGGUGUACAGUAGGGAAGGUAUAGAAACGAAGAGGUGUUCAGUAGAGAAGGUAUAGAAACGAAGAGGUGUACAAUAGAGAAGGUAUAGAAACGAAGAGGUGUACAGUAGGGAAGGUAUAGAAACGAAGAGGUGUUCAGUAGAGAAGGUAUAGAAACGAAGAGGUGUUCAGUAGAGAAGGUAUAGAAACGAAGAGGUGUACAGUAGGGAAGGUAUAGAAACGAAGAGGUGUUCAGUAGAGAAGGUAUAGAAUCGAAGAGGUGUUCAGUAGAGAAGGUAUAGAAACGAAGAGGUGUACAGUAGGGAAGGUAUAGAAACGAAGAGGUGUACAGUAGAGAAAGUAUAGAAACGAAGAGGUGUUCAGUAGGGAAGGUAUAGAAACGAAGAGGUGUACAGUAGAGAAGGUAUAGAAACUAAGAGGUGUACAGUAGAGAAGGUAUAGAAACGAAGAGGUGUACAGUAGAGAAGGUAUAGAAACGAAGAGGUGUACAGUAGAGAAGGUAUAGAAACGAAGAGGUGUACAGUAGAGAAAGUAUAGAAACGAAGAGGUGUUCAGUAGGGAAGGUAUAGAAACGAAGAGGUGUACAGUAGGGAAGGUAUAGAAACGAAGAGGUGUA